AUUGAACGCUGGCGGCAGGCCUAACACAUGCAAGUCGAACGGUAGCACAGAGAGCUUGCUCUCGGGUGACGAGUGGCGGACGGGUGAGUAACGUCUGGGAAACUGCCCGAUGGAGGGGGAUAACUACUGGAAACGGUAGCUAAUACCGCAUAACGUCGCAAGACCAAAGUGGGGGACCUUCGGGCCUCACACCAUCGGAUGUGCCCAGAUGGGAUUAGCUAGUAGGUGGGGUAAUGGCUCACCUAGGCGACGAUCCCUAGCUGGUCUGAGAGGCUGACCAGCCACACUGGAACUGAGACACGGUCCAGACUCCUACGGGAGGCAGCAGUGGGGAAUAUUGCACAAGGGGCGCAAGCCUGAUGCAGCCAUGCCGCGUGUAUGAAGAAGGCCUUCGGGUUGUAAAGUACUUUCAGCGGGGAGGAAGGCGGUGGAGUUAAUAACUUCACCGAUUGACGUUACCCGCAGAAGAAGCACCGGCUAACUCCGUGCCAGCCGCCGCGGUAA
rnacentral:rRNA from 1 species